GACGAACGCUGGCGGCGUGCCUAAUACAUGCAAGUAGAACGCUGAAGGAGGAGCUUGCUUCUCCGGAUGAGUUGCGAAUGGGUGAGUAACGCGUAGGUAACCUGCCUGGUAGCGGGGGAUAACUAUUGGAAACGAUAGCUAAUACCGCAUAAGAUUAGAUGUUGCAUGACAUUUGCUUAAAAGGUGCAAUUGCAUCACUACCAGAUGGACCUGCGUUGUAUUAGCUAGUUGGUGGGGUAACGGCUCACCAAGGCGACGAUACAUAGCCGACCUGAGAGGGGGAUCGGCCAAACUGGGACUGAGACACGGCCCAGACUCCUACGGGAGGCAGCAGUAGGGAAGCUUCGGCAAUGGACGGAAGUCUGACCGAGCAACGCCGCGUGAGUGAAGAAGGUUUUCGGAUCGUAAAGCUCUGUUGUAAGAGAAGAACGAGUGUGAGAGUGGAAAGUUCACACUGUGACGGUAUCUUAACAGAAAGGGACGGCUAACUACGUG
rnacentral:rRNA from 1 species